GGACCCGUAGCCUAGCAUGGAUAGGGCGUGGGCCUCCUAAGCCCAAGGUCGCGGGUUCAAUUCCCGCCGGCUCCACCA
rnacentral:tRNA from 1 species